GACGAACGCUGGCGGCGUGCUUAACACAUGCAAGUCGAACGGAAAGGCCCUGCUUUUGUGGGGUGCUCGAGUGGCGAACGGGUGAGUAACACGUGAGUAACCUGCCCUUGACUUUGGGAUAACUUCAGGAAACUGGGGCUAAUACCGGAUAGGAGCUCCUGCUGCCUGGUGGGGGUUGGAAAGUUUCGGCGGUUGGGUAUGGACUCGCGGCUUAUCAGCUUGUUGGUGGGGUAGUGGCUUACCAAGGCUUUGACGGGUAGCCGGCCUGAGCGGGUGACCGGCCAGAUGGGGACUGAGAUACGGCCCAGACUCCUACGGGAGGCAGCAGUGGGGAAGAUUGCAGAAUGGGCGGAAGCAUGAUGCAGAAACGCCGCGUGCGGGAUGACGGCCUUCGGGUUGUAAACCGCUUUCGCCUGUGACGAAGCGUGAGUGACGGUAAUGGGUAAAGAAGCACCGGCUAACUACGUG
rnacentral:rRNA from 1 species